AUGGUUUGCAUCACUGUCCCCGAGGCCUGGGGGCAUCUCAAGUUCAGCUCCUCUGGCAGGAAGUCAGCCUGUGCCUUGUUCUCCCCAAGAGACGCGCGAAUCAAUGUGGCAUCGUUCCUGGGGAGCCGCCCUCCCCUCCCGGCGUCCGGAGCAGGAGCCACAGGGCCCGGCGGCCGGUCCGUCAGGAAGGCGAGAGCGGCUGUGGCGUGGAUGUGGGUCAGCCUCCCGGGCGGCGAGCCCGGGGCAGGAAGGAGGGGCGACGGGGAAGCAGAAGACGGCGGCCACGGCGAGGCUUCAUUUCUGAGUGUGGUGACACCAUGUCUGUGUUCACGGCACCUGCGCCUCCUCCCUCUGACCACGGCCUAAUGGUCGUCAGCGGACCCAGCCGUCCAUUCUCAGUCCAAAGAUGGCGCCAGGGACGGUGACCCAGGUCCAGGCCAGCCCGCGUGCUGCACUCCCCUGACCUCUGUGAUUGGUUCAGGACGGCCAAGCAGGGCUGAUCCUGGAAGCUUGGCUUCAGGGCCCUGAAGGUGCGUCUCUUUCCUGUUGGACCUGGACCUGCAGGAUGUGGCGUAAGACUCCUGGCAGCCAUCUUGCCACCAUGCGGCAUCUGUGAAUGAAGCCAGCACGGAGGGAAGGACGGGCCAGAGAUGGGGAGAGAGAGAAACUCAGGCCUGAUGGCAUUAUUAAGACCCUGGAUCCAGCUAUGCCUGCAGCUGAAUCUAUUCCUGGAAUUUUAGUUACUCAGCCAAUACAUUCCUUUUUGCUUAAGCCGAUUUGAUUUGCACUGGCUUGCAAGAAAGAUUCCUGACAUUAUCAGUUUUUCUUUUUUCUUUUCAUUUUAAGCAAACUACAGCUCUGGUUCUGGCAUCCUCAGGGAUUGUUUUUUUUAAGUUUAGCAAGAAUGCUGAGCAAGCAGCAGAUGUGGAGAACACCGAGCCAUCUCCUGCCUCCGGGCUUCGGGUCAGCAUUGUCUCAGCCCAGAGCCGGGCAGCGGGCCUGGAAAGGGCAGGGCCUGUGGUCAAGCUGGAUGUGACACAGUGAAGGCGAGACCCAGUCCCUUCUGGCCUGGCCUCAGGUGCCCCGGGGACGAGGCGGGGAGCCUGGUGGCUGGAACGCGGGCUCUGGGUCGGAAGGGACUCUCACCAGCUGUGUGGGCUGCGUGACCCGCCAUGCCUCGGUUCCUGCCUUUGCAGAAUGGGCUCCCAUGGGAAAGAGGAGGGAAGGCGGCCGGCUCUUGGGGAGGCCCGGGGAGGCCGUGGACGCCAGGGCUCGGGGGACGCCG
rnacentral:lncRNA from 1 species